rnacentral:rRNA from 1 species
GCUGGCGGCAGGCCUAACACAUGCAAGUCGAGCGGUAGAGAGAAGCUUGCUUCUCUUGAGAGCGGCGGACGGGUGAGUAAUACCUAGGAAUCUGCCUGAUAGUGGGGGAUAACGUUCGGAAACGGACGCUAAUACCGCAUACGUCCUACGGGAGGAAGCAGGGGACCUUCGGGCCUUGCGCUAUCAGAUGAGCCUAGGUCGGAUUAGCUAGUUGGUGAGGUAAUGGCUCACCAGGGCUACGAUCCGUAACUGGUCUGAGAGGAUGAUCAGUCGCACUGGAACUGAGACACGGUCCAGACUCCUACGGGAGGCAGCAGUGGGGAAUAUUGGACAAUGGGCGAAAGCCUGAUCCAGCCAUGCCGCGUGUGCGAAGAAGGUCUUCGGAUUGUAAAGCACUUUAAGUUGGGAGGAAGGGCAGUUACCUAAUACGUGACUGUCUUGACGUUACCGACAGAAUAAGCACCGGCUAACUCUGUGCCAGCAGCCGCGGUAAUACAGAGGGUGCAAGCGUUAAUCGGAAUUACUGGGCGUAAAGCGCGCGUAGGUGGUUUGUUAAGUUGAAUGUGAAAUCCCCGGGCUCAACCUGGGAACUGCAUCCAAAACUGGCAAGCUAGAGUAUGGUAGAGGGUAGUGGAAUUUCCUGUGUAGCGGUGAAAUGCGUAGAUAUAGGAAGGAACACCAGUGGCGAAGGCGACUACCUGGACUGAUACUGACACUGAGGUGCGAA